rnacentral:rRNA from 1 species
UACAGAGGGUGCAAGCGUUGUUCGGAAUUAUUGGGCGUAAAGCGCGUGUAGGCGGCUUUGCAAGUCGGGUGUGAAAGCCCUCAGCUCAACUGAGGAAGUGCGCCCGAAACUGCAGAGCUUGAGUGCCGGAGAGGGUGGCGGAAUUCCCCAAGUAGAGGUGAAAUUCGUAGAUAUCGGGAGGAACACCAGUGGCGAAGGCGACUUCCUGGCCUGUUCUUGACGCUGAGGCGCGAAAGCUAGGGUAGCAAACGGG